rnacentral:rRNA from 1 species
GUCCUUUUGAAUUUAAUUUAAGGUCUGACCUGCCCAGUGAUUAGUUUAACGGCCGCGGUAUACUGACCGUGCAAAGGUAGCAUAAUCAUUAGUCUUUUAAUAGAGGGCUGGAAUGAAAGGUUUAACGAGGAACUGACUGUCUCAUUUUAUUUGUAUUAAAACUUAAUUUUUUAGUCAAAAAGCUAAAAUUUAAUUGGAAGACGAGAAGACCCUAUAGAUCUUUAUAUAACUAUAUUAGUUUUAUAAUAUAUUAACAUAUCCUAUUAUACUUAUAUUUUGUUGGGGUGACAAAAAUAUAAAAUUAACUUUUUUAUAGUUUAAACAUUGAUUUAUGAAUAAUAGAUCCAUUCUUAGUGAUUAUUAGAUUAAGUUACCUUAGGGAUAACAGCGUAAUCCUCUUCCAGAGUUCAUAUUUACAGGGGGGCUUGCGACCUCGAUGUUGGAUUAAGAUAAUAGUUAGGUGUAGCCGCUUAAUUUAUGGGUCUGUUCGACCUUUAAAUUCUU